AUGACAUUAUAUUUGUAAAUUCAUAUAUUAUAAAGACAUCAACGAUUCACUACACCGUCCGUCCGUUUAUCACACUUGACGUCGAAUGUCUCGAGUUCAGUGUAAGUGCUCAUGGGAAAAUCCNAAAUAUGUGGCCUUGUUGAACGGCUGGUCGUUUUCGUGAUUUUUAUGGAUCGAUUUAUCGAAUCGGACGAUGAAGUGACAUUAAUGAGAUUAUAUUUGUAAAUUUUUAUAUUAUAAAGCCAUCAAUGAUUCACUACACCGUCCGUCCGUUUAUCACACUUGACGUCGAAUGACUCGAGUUCAGUGCAAGUGCUCAUGGGAAAAUCCUGGUUAUUAAUAAGAUUCGUAAAAAACAUAAAACACACGAAGCUGUUUAAUAACCUGGAUCUUCCCUGCAGGAUAAACGUUAACUGGGGUCCGCGGGUUCGUAAAGCCCGUUACUCUGUUCAGAAUACCCUUGCGGUAAGAUAUCACAUAUUCAAUUUCAAUAAUGAUUAUCAAAGUUAACAUAAAUAAAAUUUAGUAUAUACAAAAUAUAUAACACGUUAUACAAAUUAAGAAAAAAAUGCAGUCU